AACGAACGCUGGCGGCGUGCCUAACACAUGCAAGUCGAGCGAGAAAGCCCGCAAGGGUGAGUACAGCGGCGCACGGGUGCGUAACACGUGGGUAAUCUGCCCUGGAGUCCGGAAUAACUCGCCGAAAGGCGUGCUAAUGCCGGAUGAGACCACGGGGGCUCCGGCCCCCGAGGGCAAAGGUGGCCUCUGCAUGCCAGCUAUCACUUCAGGCUGAGCCCGCGGCCCAUCAGCUCGGUGGCGGGGUAACGGCCCACCAAGGCUACGACGGGUAGCUGGUCUGAGAGGACGAUCAGCCACACUGGAACUGAGACACGGUCCAGACUCCUACGGGAGGCAGCAGUGGGGAAUCUUGCGCAAUGGGCGAAAGCCUGACGCAGCAACGCCGCGUGUGUGAUGAAGGUCUUCGGGUCGUAAAGCACUGUCGGGAGGGACGAAUAAGGGCCGGGCGAACAUCCCGGUCCGAUGACGGUACCCCCAAAGGAAGCACCGGCUAACUCUGUGCCAGCCGCCGCAGUAAUAC
rnacentral:rRNA from 1 species